UGGGGAAUCUUGCGCAAUGGCCGAGAGGUUGACGCAGCGACGCCGCGUGUGGGAGGACGCCUUCGGGGUGUAAACCACUGUUGCCCGGGACGAAUGCGGGGGAUCGCCCCUGUUGACGGUACCGGGUGAGGAAGCACCGGCUAACUCCGU
rnacentral:rRNA from 1 species